rnacentral:rRNA from 1 species
AGAGUUUGAUCAUGGCUCAGAUUGAACGCUGGCGGAAUGCUUUACACAUGCAAGUCGAACGGCAGCACGGAGAGCUUGCUCUCUGGUGGCGAGUGGCGAACGGGUGAGUAAUAUAUCGGAACGUGUCCAAUAAUGGGGGAUAACGAGUCGAAAGAUUCGCUAAUACCGCAUACGCCCUACGGGGGAAAGCAGGGGAUCGUAAGACCUUGCGUUAAUGGAGCGGCCGAUAUCUGAUUAGCUUGUUGGUGAGGUAAAGGCUCACCAAGGCGACGAUCAGUAGCUGGUUUGAGAGAACGACCAGCCACACUGGAACUGAGACACGGUCCAGACUCCUACGGGAGGCAGCAGUGGGGAAUUUUGGACAAUGGGGGCAACCCUGAUCCAGCCAUUCCGCGUGAGUGAAGAAGGCCUUCGGGUUGUAAAGCUCUUUCGCAAGGGAAGAAAACUUAUGAUCGAAUAAAUCAUGAGGUUGACGGUACCUUGAUAAGAAGCACCGGCUAACUACGUGCCAGCAGCCGCGGUAAUACGUAGGGUGCGAGCGUUAAUCGGAAUUACUGGGCGUAAAGCGUGCGCAGGCGGUUUUGUAAGUCGGAUGUGAAAUCCCCGGGCUCAACCUGGGAACUGCGUUCGAAACUGCAAGGCUAGAGUGUGUCAGAGGGGGGUAGAAUUCCACGUGUAGCAGUGAAAUGCGUAGAGAUGUGGAGGAAUACCAAUGGCGAAGGCAGCCCCCUGGGAUAACACUGACGCUCAUGCACGAAAGCGUGGGGAGCAAACAGGAUUAGAUACCCUGGUAGUCCACGCCCUAAACGAUGUCAACUAGUUGUUGGUAGAGUAAAAUCUAUGAGUAACGUA